AAGUAGAGAAAGUCUAAACAAGAAAAUGGCAGAGUUGUAAUAAAAGUGUAUUUGAUGGAUCGGAGAAAUUAUUACCUAUCAUCGCCGCCAAAAGUUACCUGCUUCGUGAUUAUAAGAUCAACUUCAUGGGGAAGACAGUACUGAUGAUUGAUUAUGGCUGUGGCAGAGGGUGGAGAUGAUGAUGAUGUUGGUGAUUUUGACAUGAUAAUAACAACGUUUGAGGUUCUAUAUAUGAGUGGCACAAAUUUGAGAUAUAAUUGAAUUGAAUUGAGUUGGAUAAUGAUUAAGAGUGGCACAAAUAUCGUUCAUAUAUAAAGGGGAGUAUACGGAAGCUUUUCUAACUUGACUAAGUUCAUGUUUGAAAUCGAUAAGGUCAAAAGUAGGGGAUCUUCCAAUUUUCUUUGGUGAUAUAUAAUAUAUUUAAUACUCAAUUUGUUUUUUAAAUUUAUAUGUAAAUUUUAAUUUAAUUUUUAAUAUUUUAAUUAAUUUUAUUUAGUCUUUUAUAAAUUUAUAAAUGGGAUUUAAAUUAGUUUUAUGUAACAAUUUUGGUACAUAAAUGUUAAUGGAGC
rnacentral:lncRNA from 1 species